AGAGUUUGAUCCUGGCUCAGGACGAACGCUGGCGGCGCGCCUAACACAUGCAAGUCGAACGGAGUCAAGAGGAGCUUGCUUUUCUUGACUUAGUGGCGAACGGGUGAGUAACGCGUGAGUAACCUGCCCUGGAGUGGGGGACAACAGUUGGAAACGACUGCUAAUACCGCAUAAGCCCACGGCCCGGCAUCGGGCUGCGGGAAAAGGAUUUAUUCGCUUCAGGAUGGACUCGCGUCCAAUUAGCUAGUUGGUGAGGUAACGGCCCACCAAGGCGACGAUUGGUAGCCGGACUGAGAGGUUGAACGGCCACAUUGGGACUGAGACACGGCCCAGACUCCUACGGGAGGCAGCAGUGGGGGAUAUUGCACAAUGGGGGAAACCCUGAUGCAGCGACGCCGCGUGGAGGAAGAAGGUUUUCGGAUUGUAAACUCCUGUCGUUAGGGACGAUAAUGACGGUACCUAACAAGAAAGCACCGGCUAACUACGUGCCAGCAGCCGCGGUAAAACGUAGGGUGCAAGCGUUGUCCGGAAUUACUGGGUGUAAAGGGAGCGCAGGCGGACCGGCAAGUUGGAAGUGAAAACUAUGGGCUCAACCCAUAAAUUGCUUUCAAAACUGCUGGCCUUGAGUAGUGCAGAGGUAGGUGGAAUUCCCGGUGUAGCGGUGGAAUGCGUAGAUAUCGGGAGGAACACCAGUGGCGAAGGCGGCCUACUGGGCACCAACUGACGCUGAGGCUCGAAAGUGUGGGUAGCAAACAGGAUUAGAUACCCUGGUAGUCCACACCGUAAACGAUGAUUACUAGGU
rnacentral:rRNA from 1 species